rnacentral:rRNA from 1 species
CAGUCGCCACGGUAAUACGGAGGGAGCUAGCGUUGUUCGGAAUUACUGGGCGUAAAGCGCACGUAGGCGGCUUUGUAAGUCAGAGGUGAAAGCCUGGAGCUCAACUCCAGAACUGCCUUUGAGACUGCAUCGCUUGAAUCCAGGAGAGGUGAGUGGAAUUCCGAGUGUAGAGGUGAAAUUCGUAGAUAUUCGGAAGAACACCAGUGGCGAAGGCGGCUCACUGGACUGGUAUUGACGCUGAGGUGCGAAAGCGUGGGGAGCAAACAGGAUUAGAUACCCCGGUAGUCCCUGUCUCUUAUAC